UAACGCGUGAGAAUCUGGCUCUAGGUCUGGGACAACCACUGGAAACGGUGGCUAAUACCGGAUGUGCCGAGAGGUGAAAGGUUAACUGCCUAGAGAUGAGCUCGCGUCUGAUUAGCUAGUUGGAAGUGUAAUGGACUCCCAAGGCGACGAUCAGUAGCUGGUCUGAGAGGACGAUCAGCCACACUGGGACUGAGACACGGCCCAGACUCCUACGGGAGGCAGCAGUGGGGAAUUUUCCGCAAUGGGCGAAAGCCUGACGGAGCAAUACCGCGUGAGGGAGGAAGGCUCUUGGGUCGUAAACCUCUUUUCUCAGGGAAGAACACAAUGACGGUACCUGAGGAAUAAGCAUCGGCUAACUCCGUGCCAGCAGCCGCGGUAAUACGGAGGAUGCAAGCGUUAUCCGGAAUGAUUGGGCGUAAAGCGUCCGCAGGUGGCGAUGUAAGUCUGCUGUUAAAGAGUCUAGCUCAACUAGAUAAGAGCGGUGGAAACUACAUAGCUAGAGUACGUUCGGGGCAGAGGGAAUUCCUGGUGUAGCGGUGAAAUGCGUAGAGAUCAGGAAGAACACCGGUGGCGAAGGCGCUCUGCUAGGCCGUAACUGACACUGAGGGACGAAAGCUAGGGGAGCGAAUGGG
rnacentral:rRNA from 1 species